UUUGACUACUAGGGGUGCCGAUGGGAUCGGCUGAGAGGAAAGAAUUCAAUCUUUCUAACCCUUUUGAACCUGAUCUAGUUCGUACUAGCGGAGGGAAGUAGCACUUCUUUAAC
rnacentral:ncRNA from 2 species